UCCCUGGUGGCUCAGAGGUUAAAGCAUCUGCCCGCAAUGCAGGAGACCCUGGUUCGAUCCCUGGGUUGGGAA
rnacentral:tRNA from 1 species